rnacentral:rRNA from 1 species
UACGUAGGGGGCAAGCGUUGUCCGGAUUUAUUGGGCGUAAAGAGCGUGUAGGCGGCCAUACAGGUCUGCUGUGAAAACUCGAGGCUCAACCUCGAGCUGUCGGUGGAAACCGUGUGGCUAGAGUCCGGAAGAGGAGAGUGGAAUUCCCGGUGUAGCGGUGAAAUGCGCAGAUAUCGGGAAGAACACCCGUGGCGAAGGCGGCUCUCUGGGACGGUACUGACGCUGAGACGCGAAAGCGUGGGGAGCGAACAGG